UACGUAGGUGGCAAGCGUUGUCCGGAUUUACUGGGCGUAAAGAGCGCGCAGGCGGUCGAAUAAGUCGAAUGUGAAAGCCCACGGCUCAACCGUGGAGGGUCAUUGGAAACUGGGGAACUUGAGUGCAGAAGAGGAAAGUGGAAUUCCAAGUGUAGCGGUGAAAUGCGUAGAGAUUUGGAGGAACACCAGUGGCGAAGGCGACUUUCUGGUCUGUAACUGACACUGAGGCGCGAAAGCGUGGGGAGCGAACAGG
rnacentral:rRNA from 1 species